rnacentral:rRNA from 1 species
CCUACGGGAGGCAGCAGUGAGGCAUAUUGGUCAAUGGGCGCGAGCCUGAACCAGCCAAGUCGCGUGAGGGAAGACGGUCCUCUGGAUUGUAAACCCUUUUUGUCGGGGAGCAAAAGACGCCACGCGUGGCGUUCCGAGAGUACCCGAAGAAAAAGCAUCGGCAAACUCCGUGCCAGCAGCCGCGGUCAUACGGAGGAUGCGAGGGUUCUCCGGAUUUAUUGGGUUUAAAGGGGGCGCAGGCGGAAGAUCAAGUCAGCGGUAAAAUUGAGAGGCUCAACCGCGUCGAGCCGUGGAAACUGGUUAUCUUGAGUGAGCUAGAAGUAUGCGGAAUGCGUGGUGUAGCGGUGAAAUGCGUAGAUAUCACGCAGAACACCAAUUGCGAAGGCAGCAUACCGGCGCUCAACUGACGCUCAUGCACGAAAGUGUGGGUAGCGAACAGGAUUAGAUACCCCGGUAGUC